ACCUGGCUGGCUCAGUUGGUCGUGCAUGCAACUCUUGAUCUUGGAGUUGUGGGUUCGAGUCCCACGUUAGGUG
rnacentral:tRNA from 1 species